rnacentral:rRNA from 1 species
GACAGAGGGUGCAAACGUUGUUCGGAAUUACUGGGCGUAAAGCGUGUGUAGGCGGCUUUGCAAGUCGGAUGUGAAAGCCCCGGGCUCAACCCGGGAAGUGCACUCGAUACUGCAGAGCUUGAGUGUGGGAGAGGUUGGUGGAAUUCUCGGUGUAGAGGUGAAAUGCGUAGAUAUCGAGAGGAACACCUGCGGCGAAGGCGGGUAGCUGGGCCGACACUGACGCUGAGGCGCGAAAGCCAGGGGAGCGAACGGG